GAGUUGUUUAUAACAAAAAUAACAAAUAAAAUGGAAUACCAGAAGACCAGCUGUGGUUCACAAGAAAUUCCGCUCGAAAUACUACUAGAAAAAGCAGAAAAAGCAAUAGGCAAUUUGUUGCCGGAUAAGUCGAAGAAGAGAUAUGAAUAGGAAUAUAAUGGCUUUGAAGAAUGGAUGGCAAAGAAAAAGGUGAAUGUAAUCAACGAAGCAGUUAUUCUUGCCUAUUUUGCUGAUAUGUUCCUUGUGGACCAAAUAUUCAAUGUAACGAUCAAUGCUAUGCGUUAAAAGGGAUGUGAAUAUAGCAACUUACAGCAAGUUAAGGUCCUUCUUGAAGAAACAAAGCAUCGGAUAUGAAGCAAAAAAAUCGAAAGUUUUGAACCGAGAGCAAAUCAUUACAUUCUUGAAAGAAGCUCCUAAUGAUAAAUAUCUUAUGCAUAAGGUUGCUUUGUUGAUGGGAAUUUGUGGCACUUGUAGGUGUGAUAAACUAGUAAACUUACAGUGUGACGCCAUAGAAGAUCGUGGUUCAGUUCUUGUAGUUACGUUACGCCAAAGAAAAACUCACAAGAAACGGUCAUUCACAGUAAUUGAUGAUGGUGAUAUUCCGGCGCUAACAAUAUACCGGAAAUAUGCGCGACCAGAAUAUAUAUUUUUUUGACAUUCAGGAAUGGUAGAUGCACACUACAACCCGUUGGUAAGAACACUUUCGGCAGCAUCCUAAAAAUCGUUAAAUCGCGGAAUUUUUGAAACUACAGACAAUGCUAAGGCUUAUACUGGACAUUGCUUAACAAGAACCGCUUCCACAUUGUUUGUGGAAGGAGGUGCUGAUAUUACAACACUCAAGAGGGCUGGAGGAUCAAGAAGUGGAAGCAUAGCAGAAGGAUACAUAGAGGAAAGUGUGCAUCACAAAGUCAAGAUGGUGCGGAUGAUUUUGGGCAGCGAAAAGAAUGCGUGGUGAACGAAAAACACGCAGGCGAUGCAGCUGCUGUCGUUGAGAUUUUAUUAGCCGAAGAAUCGAAGCAACUAGAUAAUUUUAAGUGUCAAAGUAGUAUUAAGAAUAUUGAAGAAAAACUUCCAGUUGCUCACGGAAACAUCAUAAUAAAACAUGUAGAAAAUUUUCAUGUACAUUAUGUAAAAGAAUAGAU